rnacentral:misc_RNA from 1 species
GAAAUGCAAGGACGUUCUUUUUAGAAGUCCGACCAAUUCAUUCCUUCACACUGUGUACAAACUACUUUUCACACUUUUAAACACUAUAAGAAUAAGAAUGUCAUCGUCUCUUAACUGAGCAUAAACUAUUAAAACUUUCGGCAACGGAUCUCUUGGCUCC